CUGCGGAGGAUCAUUACUGCUUGCUCAUGGCCGUCCCUGGGGGCAACCCCUUGGGCGGUCCGGCAACCACACCCUUGUCUAUGUAUACCUUUUGUUAUUUCCCUCGGCGGGGUGACCCGCCGCUGGGGACACCGAACCCUCUUGUAUUAAAGCAUUAAAACUUCUGAACAAACCUAAAUUAUUACAACUUUCAACAAUGGAUCUCUUGGUUCUGGCAUCGAUGAAGAACGCAGCGAAAUGCGAUAAGUAUUGUGAAUUGCAGACUUUAGUGAAUCAUCGAAUCUUUGAACGCACAUUGCGCCCCUUGGUAUUCCAUUGGGCAUGCCUGUUCGAGCGUCAUUUACACCCUCAAGUUACGCUUGGUGUUGGGCGUCUGUCCCCGCUUCCCGCGAGGACUCGCCCCAAAUCCAUUGGCAGCGGCAUCGCCGGCUUCUCGCGCAGCACAUUGCGCUCCAGAAGGCUCCCGGCGGGCUCGCGUCCAGCAAGAACCCCCCCAGUUUGACCUCGAAUCAGGUAGGGAUACCCGCUGAACUUAAGCAUAUCAAUAAGCGGAGGAA
rnacentral:rRNA from 1 species